CUUGUUUUUUUGUUUGCUUUUUUUUUUUUUUCCCCCAUAGGUGAAGAGGAUGUGGAAAAUAGGCCAUACAUGGAAAUCUGUGAAUCCUCUGCUGGCAUCAGCAUAAAGGAUCAUUUUGUGGGAGAAUGGAAAUGCAACAAACUGGAGAGCAGCUAUCACCACAGCUGUCAGUGAAGUACCAGCUGCAGAUAUGUGGAAACUUGUCCCCUGUGUUAGAGGCCACAGUGUGACCUUGCAUGGCCCAUGAAAGUGUUUAAAAAUCAUGAUGACACUGGGUUCUGACUGACUUUGUCUAGAUUCAGCCUGAACAUCAAGAGGAAAAAGGCUCUGUGUCCCGUGCCAAUUCUCUGAUCUUUC
rnacentral:lncRNA from 12 species